rnacentral:rRNA from 1 species
UGGGGAAUAUUGCACAAUGGGCGCAAGCCUGAUGCAGCCAUGCCGCGUGUGUGAAGAAGGCCUUCGGGUUGUAAAGCACUUUCAGCGGGGAGGAAGGCGUUAAGGUUAAUAACCUUGGCGAUUGACGUUACCCGCAGAAGAAGCACCGGCUAACUCCGUGCCAGCAGCCGCGGUAAUACGGAGGGUGCGAGCGUUAAUCGGAAUUACUGGGCGUAAAGCGCACGCAGGCGGUCUGUCAAGUCGGAUGUGAAAUCCCCGGGCUCAACCUGGGAACUGCAUUCGAAACUGGCAGGCUAGAGUCUUGUAGAGGGGGGUAGAAUUCCAGGUGUAGCGGUGAAAUGCGUAGAGAUCUGGAGGAAUACCGGUGGCGAAGGCGGCCCCCUGGACAAAGACUGACGCUCAGGUGCGAAAGCGUGGGGAGCAAACAGG